CUUACGUAACAGAACUUUAUUUUCUAACAGCUCUGGGGGCUGGAAGUCUGCGAUCAAGGUGCCAGCCUGUUCAUUUCCUGGGGAGGGCCCUCUUCCUGGCUUGCAGACAGCUGCCUCUCACUGUGUCCUUGCGUGGCCUCAGAGCUGUUCACGGACGGAGGGCGCACUCCAGGGUGUCUUCUCAUAAGGACUCUAAUCCUGUAGGAUCAGGGCACCCUGAUGACCUCAUUUAACCUUAAUUUCUUUCUCAGUGGCUCCAUCAACAUAUACAGCCCCACUGAGGGCUAGGGCUCCAAUAUAUGAAUUUUGAGUCCAUAACAAAUACCCAGCAGACAGGACGCUCCAGUGCCCCCAAGGCCGCAGUACCCGUUGGGGUUCUUGCUCAGGUACUGCUGGUGGUAAUCCUCGGCGUAAUAGAAAGUUUGUCCCUCCCGGAUGUCGGUCAUGAUCAGGCCACAGCCGUGCUCUGAAAGAACCUGUGGAGACAAAGGCACCGUCAGGACCCGAUGCUGGCAGAGAUGGUCCGAAGGAGGAGGGACAGGCAGGCUGCAUGGAGCAUUUGAGCACAGGGCUACAGAGACGUGACCCCAGUUUCACUGGUUCCAUUUUGGACAGGGGUGCAAGUUGAGGUCUUGGACUUGUCCUUCCAUAAGGGAACUGCCUGUUUGUCGACAGUCCAUUGGUCUCUUUUAGAGAUGAAGUUCUCACGUCUGCCCAGAAGGAUGGAUCCACUCUUAGUGUUCAGCAUUAUUUCACUGCUGACCCUCUGCCGAGCCCUAUCACAGCUUUCUGAAUUUCCAUCCGGCCCUCCGAGGCAGAAUUGGCUCUGAAACCACAGGCCUGGGGAUUGAGGAAGGUGAUCUGAGUGUCUCAGUUAGGGAGGAUCCCAGAAGGAGACAGAAUUCCACCCAGAAAGUUAGAAUGAAGGUUCUUUCAUGAAGGGCCUAGGCGUUGUGGGUAUCAUCAAGGGGCCCAACAAAGAGGAAUGAGGCUUUCCAGAGACGAGCAGCAGCAGUCAGCCACAGGGCAAGGAGAUAAAUUCCAUAGUUACUGAAGUCCAAGUGUGGGGGAGGGAUACCGAGGAGGAACUGGGUCAGGGAGGGACCCUGCCACUGGGAGCACAACGGCCUCAACAGGAAGGCACAGAGAGCAAAUACCCCAAACCCUCUUACUUCUUGCCUUGUACCUUCUGUCAGUACCUCCCAUUGCUGAGGGCAAGCCAAGCAACAUUUAGGAUCCCAGGUGACUAAUCCUUAGGGGCCAGCCUACCAGGACCCAGGGAAGGACAGCCAAUGGAUCUGCAGAG
rnacentral:lncRNA from 1 species